rnacentral:tRNA from 1 species
UGACGGAAUAGUUCAAUUGGUGAGAACAUUGGAAUCAUAAUCCAAAAGUUAUAGGUUCAAAUCCUAUUUCCGUUAG